GAACAUGAAAAUAACGAUUUCUUUAUUGUUCCUUCAAGGGCAUUGAGUGACAGAAUAAUGUUACAAACUAUGCUUAUUUGAUAAAAAUGAAGGUAUUCAUAUGUGCUAGUUCCAAGUGGGGUUUUAAGAGAAUAGAUAACAUCUUUCUAUCUAGAUGUCUUUUCAGACAUAAUUACUUUCGAAAGAAUUAUGCAUGAAAGCCUAAACAGGAUAAACUUACAAUUAGAAUGUUAGACAGGGCAGUGAACUGACAGAAUAUCUUGUGGGUAUUUUCCUCAAAAUUGCUGGCCUUGUCAGACAUGCAUUUGCUGUUCAAGAAGAAAGACUAUUUUAAAAUGUUAUUCUCUGAAUUUUUAUAAGAUAUUCAGUUGUGUUGGUGCAUUCACAAGAUUUAAAUAUACAGUCAAAGGUUUUCAAGAUAUUUGAGUCCACUUAAUUUCAUGAUUUACUUGUAGUGUAAACCUGCUCUCUGGGAUGCAAAGUUUUUCUCAGCACAACACAGGCCCAGGUAUUUCUGGGGUAACUUACCAACAAUAUACAGGUAAGGUUGACAUUCAAUUUUGAAAUAACUGCAUAAUCUUUUAAGCUAUAAUUUAUAUUUUAACAAAUGAAAUUAAACUAGAUUGAGUAAAUAGGAGGUAUUACUAGUCAGAAAUAAUUUGAUGACUAUAUUUGAUACAAUGUCUUAGCUAUGACAAUUCUAUCAUUUAUAGUGAAUGUCAUUUUUUCAUUAUUCCCAGCAGAAGAGUAAAAUAAUUUGGCAAUUUAGUCACCAAUGAUUGUUUUCUGACAUUUUAUAUAGAUAUUCCUUUGCAAUAAAAAAUAUUCUGAUGUAUAAAUGAGGAGUAAUUUCAUCAUAUUGACUUGCUUAGGAUAGUUUAUAUAGAGACGAAAACUGCAGUAAUGCUAAAGUAAUACUGGCCAGCUCAAUUCAAACUAAACCAAAAGUAUAUAUAAAAUUCACAAUGUCUUAUCUGUAUGUUUAGUGUCAGUUUAUCAUUUAAAGACUUCUUCAAUAAUUAUUUAUUUAAUGUAAACAUUUUCUUCCAGUUCACAGCCAACAACUGAAGAUGAUUCUCUUUACUUAGAUAAAAUUCUUUCACCAAACUGCAACAGAAAGGCUAGAGUAAGUUGGUUCGAUUUUCUAUACCUAGACAAUAGCUGUCUUGAGAAGUAUGAUUCACAACCUAUCAUAUCUGUAUGUUUGAAACAACAGUAUUGUCUCAAAAAUGCCAGUUAAUAAAUAUCGAUUCAUUAACUAAAUACCAGAAAGGAAAUAUAUACUGUUGAUAUGUUUGUGGUGCAUGGCUACAAUCCAUUAACUUAUAACAGUAAAGGAAGACUAAUACAUCAUUUAGGCAUUGUAAAAUAUCAAUGUAUUUUGUCAUCAGGUGAAACAGCUACGGACAGUGACAACAAGAAGUAACUCACUCAGACAGGGAAAAAAUGAAAAUAUUUUGCCAGUUGAAAUGGAUGGAGAAGAAGACGCUAUUUGGAUUACAGAAUUGGAAAAGUAAGUCUUUUCUGCUUAUUACGGUGAAAUAAAUUUCUACAAAUAUUUUGGUUCUUAGUUGCUGAACCUGCAGGAAAGAACUACACUCUUUAAACCUAUGGGGAAAAAUAUGGCAUAGAGGACACAAGGGUGAAAAUAGAGUAAUUGACUUCUCACCUUUUCAGAUAAAGGUGUAAUUAUUGUGUUUGAUAAAAAGGUAGUUGUCUAGCCCCAUGACCAAAGCUAUUUCAGCUGUGAUCAUCUGAUCCACUUGGAUUACAUAUCCCCCCCCCCACGACGACGACCAACUAAAGCCAACAGUUUAGCAGUUUUGCAAUUUGGCAACUAACCUUUUGGCC
rnacentral:lncRNA from 1 species